rnacentral:rRNA from 1 species
GACGAACGCUGGCGGCGUGCUUAACACAUGCAAGUCGAACGGAAAGGCCCUGCUUUUGUGGGGUGCUCGAGUGGCGAACGGGUGAGUAACACGUGAGUAACCUGCCCUUGACUUUGGGAUAACUUCAGGAAACUGGGGCUAAUACCGGAUAGGAGCUCCUGCUGCAUGGUGGGGGUUGGAAAGUUUCGGCGGUUGGGGAUGGACUCGCGGCUUAUCAGCUUGUUGGUGGGGUAGUGGCUUACCAAGGCUUUGACGGGUAGCCGGCCUGAGAGGGUGACCGGCCACAAUGGGACUGAGAGACGGCCCAGACUCCUACGGGAGGCAGCAGUGGAGAGUAUGGCACAAUGAGCGGAAGCCUGAGGCAGCAACGCCGCGUGCGGGAUGACGGCCUUCGGGUGAUAAACCGCUGUCGCCGGUGACGAAGCGUGAGUGACGGUAAUGAGUAAAGAAGCACCGGCUAACUACGUG